rnacentral:rRNA from 1 species
GUUUUUUUGGUUAAUAAUUUAAAGUUUAAUUUGCCCCCUGAUUGAUAAUUAAAGGGCUGCAGUAUAUUGACUGUACAAAGGUAGCAUAAUCAUUAGUCUUUUAAUUGAAGACUUGUAUGAAAGAUUUGAUGAAAUAUAAACUGUCUCUAAGUUAAUUAUAGAAAUUAAUUUUUUAAUUAAAAAGUUAAAAUAAUUUAAAAAGACGAGAAGACCCUAUAGAGUUUUAUAAUAAUUAAAAAUUUGGAUUAUGUAUAUAAAUAAUAAAUUUAAAAUUUUAUUAUUAUUUUAUUGGGGUGAUAGAAAAAUUUAAUUAACUUUUUUUAAAAAAAAAUCAUAAAUAAGUGAAUAAAUGAUCCAUAAAUAGUGAUUAAAAGAAAAAAUUACCUUAGGGAUAACAGCGUAAUUUUUUUUUUUAGUACAAAUAAAAAAAAAAGGUUGCGACCUCGAUGUUGGAUUAAGAUAAAAUUUAAAUGCAAAAGUUUAAAAUUUUGAUCUGUUCGAUCAUUAAAAUCUUACAU